rnacentral:rRNA from 1 species
UACAGAGGUCUCAAGCGUUGUUCGGAUUCAUUGGGCGUAAAGGGUGCGUAGGUGGCGCGCUAAGUCAGGUGUGAAAUUUCGGAGCUUAACUCCGAAACUGCAUUCGAUACUGCGGUGCUUGAGGACUGGAGAGGAGACUGGAAUUCAUGGUGUAGCAGUGAAAUGCGUAGAGAUCAUGAGGAAGACCAGUGGCGAAGGCGGGUCUCUGGACAGUUCCUGACACUGAGGCACGAAGGCCCAGGGGAGCAAAACGGGG